rnacentral:rRNA from 1 species
GACGAACGCUGGCGGCGUGCUUAACACAUGCAAGUCGAGCGGAAAGGCCACUUCGGUGGUACUCGAGCGGCGAACGGGUGAGUAACACGUGAGUAAUCUGCCCCUCACUUUGGGAUAGCCACCGGAAACGGUGAUUAAUACCGGCUAUGACCAUAUUUCUCCUGGCGGGUGGUGGAAAGUUUUUCGGUGGGGGAUGGGCUCGCGGCUUAUCAGCUUGAUGGUGAGGUAGUGGCUUACCAUGGCUUUGACGGGUAGCCGGCCUGAGAGGGUGACCGGUCACACUGGGACUGAGAUACGGCCCAGACUCCUACGGGAGGCAGCAGUGGGGAAUAUUGGACAAUGGGCGGAAGCCUGAUGCAGCAACGCCGCGUGCGGGAUGACGGCCUUCGGGUUGUAAACCGCUUUCGGUAGCGACGAAGCGCAAGUGACGGUAGGUACAGAAGAAGCACCGGCUAACUACGUG